AACUGGAGACCUGGUGAAGGCUAUGGAUCGCUAAUCCAGAGACGGCGGGUUCGAUUCCCGUUCCGGUUG
rnacentral:tRNA from 1 species